rnacentral:tRNA from 1 species
GCAGUAGUGGUCCGGUGGAAGAAUUCUCACCUUAUAUGCAGGAGACCUGGGUUCGAUUCCCAGCCAGUGCA